rnacentral:rRNA from 1 species
GCCCAGAGCCUGAAUCAGUAUGUGUGUUAGUGGAAGCGUCUGGAAAGGCGCGCGAUACAGGGUGACAGCCCCGUACACAAAAAUGCACAUGCUGUGAGCUCGAUGAGUAGGGCGGGACACGUGGUAUCCUGUCUGAAUAUGGGGGGACCAUCCUCCAAGGCUAAAUACUCCUGACUGACCGAUAGUGAACCAGUACCGUGAGGGAAAGGCGAAAAGAACCCCGGCGAGGGGAGUGAAAAAGAACCUGAAACCGUGUACGUACAAGCAGUGGGAGCACGCUUAGGCGUGUGACUGCGUACCUUUUGUAUAAUGGGUCAGCGACUUAUAUUCUGUAGCAAGGUUAACCGAAUAGGGGAGCCGAAGGGAAACCGAGUCUUAACUGGGCGUUAAGUUGCAGGGUAUAGACCCGAAACCCGGUGAUCUAGCCAUGGGCAGGUUGAAGGUUGGGUAACACUAACUGGAGGACCGAACCGACUAAUGUUGAAAAAUUAGCGGAUGACUUGUGGCUGGGGGUGAAAGGCCAAUCAAACCGGGAGAUAGCUGGUUCUCCCCGAAAGCUAUUUAGGUAGCGCCUCGUGAAUUCAUCUCCGGGGGUAGAGCACUGUUUCGGCAAGGGGGUCAUCCCGACUUACCAACCCGAUGCAAACUGCGAAUACCGGAGAAUGUUAUCACGGGAGACACACGGCGGGUGCUAACGUCCGUCGUGAAGAGGGAAACAACCCAGACCGCCAGCUAAGGUCCCAAAGUCAUGGUUAAGUGGGAAACGAUGUGGGAAGGCCCAGACAGCCAGGAUGUUGGCUUAGAAGCAGCCAUCAUUUAAAGAAAGCGUAAUAGCUCACUGGUCGAGUCGGCCUGCGCGGAAGAUGUAACGGGGCUAAACCAUGCACCGAAGCUGCGGCAGCGACGCUGAUGCGUUGUUGGGUAGGGGAGCGUUCUGUAAGCCUGCGAAGGUGUGCUGUGAGGCAUGCUGGAGGUAUCAGAAGUGCGAAUGCUGACAUAAGUAACGAUAAAGCGGGUGAAAAGCCCGCUCGCCGGAAGACCAAGGGUUCCUGUCCAACGUUAAUCGGGGCAGGGUGAGUCGACCCCUAAGGCGAGGCCGAAAGGCGUAGUCGAUGGGAAACAGGUUAAUAUUCCUGUACUUGGUGUUACUGCGAAGGGGGGACGGAGAAGGCUAUGUUGGCCGGGCGACGGUUGUCCCGGUUUAAGCGUGUAGGCUGGU